AAGUCGUACGCACUGGCCCAACUGAUUGAUGGUGCUUGCACCUGAUUGACGAUGGAUUACCAGUGAGUGGCGGACGGGUGAGUAACACGUAGGUAACCUGCCCCGGAGCGGGGGAUAACAUUUGGAAACAGAUGCUAAUACCGCAUAACAACAAAAGCCACAUGGCUUUUGUUUGAAAGAUGGCUUUGGCUAUCACUCUGGGAUGGACCUGCGGUGCAUUAGCUAGUUGGUAAGGUAACGGCUUACCAAGGCGAUGAUGCAUAGCCGAGUUGAGAGACUGAUCGGCCACAAUGGAACUGAGACACGGUCCAUACUCCUACGGGAGGCAGCAGUAGGGAAUCUUCCACAAUGGGCGCAAGCCUGAUGGAGCAACACCGCGUGAGUGAAGAAGGGUUUCGGCUCGUAAAGCUCUGUUGUUGGAGAAGAACGUGCGUGAGAGUAACUGUUCACGCAGUGACGGUAUCCAACCAGAAAGUCACGGCUAACUACGUGCCAGCAGCCGCGGUAAUACGUAGGUGGCAAGCGUUAUCCGGAUUUAUUGGGCGUAAAGCGAGCGCAGGCGGUUGCUUAGGUCUGAUGUGAAAGCCUUCGGCUUAACCGAAGAAGUGCAUCGGAAACCGGGCGACUUGAGUGCAGAAGAGGACAGUGGAACUCCAUGUGUAGCGGUGGAAUGCGUAGAUAUAUGGAAGAACACCAGUGGCGAAGGCGGCUGUCUGGUCUGCAACUGACGCUGAGGCUCGAAAGCAUGGGUAGCGAACAGGAUUAGAUACCCUGGUAGUCCAUGCCGUAAACGAUGAGUGCUAGGUGUUGGAGGGUUUCCGCCCUUCAGUGCCGGAGCUAACGCAUUAAGCACUCCGCCUGGGGAGUACGACCGCAAGGUUGAAACUCAAAGGAAUUGACGGGGGCCCGCACAAGCGGUGGAGCAUGUGGUUUAAUUCGAAGCUACGCGAAGAACCUUACCAGGUCUUGACAUCUUGCGCUAACCUUAGAGAUAAGGCGUUCCCUUCGGGGACGCAAUGACAGGUGGUGCAUGGUCGUCGUCAGCUCGUGUCGUGAGAUGUUGGGUUAAGUCCCGCAACGAGCGCAACCCUUGUUACUAGUUGCCAGCAUUAAGUUGGGCACUCUAGUGAGACUGCCGGUGACAAACCGGAGGAAGGUGGGGACGACGUCAGAUCAUCAUGCCCCUUAUGACCUGGGCUACACACGUGCUACAAUGGACGGUACAACGAGUCGCAAGCUCGCGAGAGUAAGCUAAUCUCUUAAAGCCGUUCUCAGUUCGGACUGUAGGCUGCAACUCGCCUACACGAAGUCGGAAUCGCUAGUAAUCGCGGAUCAGCAUGCCGCGGUGAAUACGUUCCCGGGCCUUGUACACACCGCCCGUCACACCAUGGGAGUUUGUAACGCCCAAAGUCGGUGGCC
rnacentral:rRNA from 2 species